UACGGGGGGGGCAAGCGUUGUUCGGAAUUAUUGGGCGUAAAGAGCUCGUAGGCGGUUUGUCGCGUCGAAUGUGAAAACCCGGGGCUCAACCCCGGGCCUGCAUUCGAUACGGGCAGACUAGAGUUCGGUAGGGGAGUCUGGAAUUCCUGGUGUAGCGGUGAAAUGCGCAGAUAUCAGGAGGAACACCCGUAGCGAAGGCGGCACUCUGGGCCGAUACUGACACUGAGGAGCGAAAGCGUGGGGAGCGAACAGG
rnacentral:rRNA from 1 species